rnacentral:misc_RNA from 1 species
UCCGGUUUGACACCGGCAGUCUCGCCAGAGUGCCCGCCUUGACGCGAUGGCAACUGACGACAGGGGUUUCGCUCGUUAGGGGACUCAACCCAACACCUCAAGGCACGAGCUGACGACAGCCAUGCACCACCUGUGCACCGGCCCCGAAGGGCUGCCGUAUUUCUACGGCAUUCCAGUGCAUGUCAAGCCUUGGUAAGGUUCUUCGCGUUGCGUCGAAUUGAACCACAUGCUCCGCCGCUUGUGCGGGCCCCCGUCAAUUCCUUUGAGUUUUAGCCUUGCGGCCGUACUCCCCAGGCGGGGCACUUAAUGCGUUAGCUACGGCACGGAACCCGUCGAUAGGGUCCCACACCUAGUGCCCAACGUUUACGGCGUGGACUAC